rnacentral:lncRNA from 1 species
CUACAACUUCAGGAGAAAGUUGCCCUUAUGGAACUGUUCCGAUACGAAGAACUCUGAAGGAAGAUCUUGUAAGGAGGCGCGCAUCUUCUCAGGUGAUGAAGCCACAAACAGAAUACACUAGUACAAUCGAAGGACAGCAUGUAAGUAAGAGUUUCCAUCGUUUAUCUUUCUUUGAUCGAUCGAUUCCAAAAUUUACCUGAACACGGAGAUGUCUCCCCAAUAGUUCGCCCAGGUGCUGUUUGACAGCGAGAAAGGAUCCUUGUUCGUUGACGUGAAGGCAGAUAUCGACGUGUAUCCUCUAGUUAUUCCUCCUGGCCAGAAAUCCACUGCUCAGAUUCUUGUUGUGGAUCGGAGGCCUAGCAGUGCCACCGUCGUGCAAGCUGGAUGGCAUGUAAGUUUUGACAAUUGACAAGCCAGACUGAAUAUGCAGUUCCUGUGAAGACAUAUCUCACACUAAUAUAUUUCUGUUCAACCGAACAGAUCGAUUCUCAACAUGAAGGCGACAACCAACCUCGUUUCAUGGUUUACUGGACGGUGCGUACUCUAACUUUCAAAGGCAGAUUUUCACCUUAGGGACCACCUUUUUUAAUGUAUUUACAAUAGAAUCUCCUUUGAUACAGGCCGAUGGCUACCAAAAAACAGGCUGCCUGAACUAUGAAUGCCCAGGCUUUGUGGUCACGAGCCAAGCUACCACUCCUGGAAUGGCUCUUCCAGUGGGGAAAAUUACUUUAAAGAUUCUCAGAGUAAUCCAUGACAUUCAUCACAUCAGCCUGAACAACUUCAUCUUCGUUAUCACUCUCCGUUUGUUUAUAUCUAUUUACAAAUUACUUUAAACAUCUUUAAGGAUGUGACAAGUUGGAGAAGGAAUCAUUGAGAGAGUGGAGGAAAAUUUAAUAGAUACAACUAAUUGUAUAAUUGGAAGGAUGCAAACAGAAAAAAGGAUGUAGCAAGUGUUGCUGAAAUAGUAUGUUUAUGUGUUUUUCAGGAUUUCCAGACCGGGAACUGGAAUGUCUACCUGAACGGUGAGAUGGUCGGCUACUUCCCGGGGGCCAUAGUCAACGGAAUGGACGGCAGCACCCAGAUCC